rnacentral:rRNA from 1 species
GAUGAACGCUGGCGGCGUGCCUAAUACAUGCAAGUCGAGCGAACAGACGAGGGGCUUGCUCCUCUGACGUUAGCGGCGGACGGGUGAGUAACACGUGGAUAACCUACCUAUAAGACUGGGAUAACUUCGGGAAACCGGAGCUAAUACCGGAUAAUAUAUUGAACCGCAUGGUUCAAUAGUGAAAGACGGUUUUGCUGUCACUUAUAGAUGGAUCCGCGCCGCAUUAGCUAGUUGGUAAGGUAACGGCUUACCAAGGCAACGAUGCGUAGCCGACCUGAGAGGGUGAUCGGCCAAACGGAAAUUGGGAAACGGCCAGACGCCCAAGGGAGGGAGCAGUAGGGAAUCCUCCGGAAUGGGCGGAAGCCUGACGGAGCAAAGCCGCGUGAAGGAUGAAGGUCUUCGGAUCGGAAAACUCUGUUAAUAGGGAAGAACAAAUGUGUAAGGAACUAUGCACGGCUUGACGGUAACUAAUCAGAAAACCACGGCUAACUACGUG